CAUUCUUUCGAGUUGGUCAUGCAGACAAUGUUACAACCACAAAAAAAAAACAUGUUACACACAGAGGAGAGGUUUGAAUUAUUACCCGAUCAACUUUUAACGUCCCCCAUUUCAUAUGACUUGACUAGUCAAAAACAUGCCCUCCAGGGAGACUUGAUUGUCGUUGUAUGACUUAUCAGCUGAAAGGGUGGUGAAGGCUCCCCCUGUCGACAUUGCCAAAAUGUCUGAAGCGGUAAGCAAACUGAAGGUAGGAGAGAAAACUGAAAAUAGAGAGAAAAAAAGAUUUAUCGUCUGAUAAGUCCGCUGAAAAUCUGCAGAAGAGCCCCUGGUGUGUCCCAUCUUUUGUUCGC
rnacentral:lncRNA from 1 species